CGCAGCCAUUCAAUAGAACUUUGCAAUCGCGCUGUCACGAACUUAUCUGCCUUAGGUCUCUGAGUGUCGGAUGUCGCUGGCUCUCGAGUCCAGCAGCAACUACUUAGUUGCUUUGUUUAAUUAAUUUCUUAUUAAUUCACAGGAAUAUGUUAGUUUUGGCAGACCUCACACUGAGUACAAGGGUUAUGAUUGGAGCACAUGAAAAAGACAAAAGACAGAUUUUGUGCUCUCAAAUUCAGGAGUAUGGUUGGAGUGAAUUACACAAGCAAAGUAAAGCGCAUUAGGACAAUACUGCGUCGGAAAAUAGAAGUAUAUGUAUAUGUAUAUAUACCCUUUCUAAGAAGGGAUAUGCAUCUUCUGCUUGUUACAGCGCUCCUGAACACUCGGCAUCUCCCACUGUCAGCAAUGUGUUUGGAGCCGGUGUUCUUUUUUUUGCAGGACAUGCACUGUGGCUCCUGAUAACAGUCCCUAGCAAGGUGAACUUUUCCUCCGCAUCGCCGGCACAGAUUUGAUCUGUCCUGUUCGUUUUAGCACUGUCUCGCAAGGUGGCCAAACUCCAGGCAUCUAAAACAUCUGGUGAUGUUUAUACGUCCGCGGAACCUUGAGCUGAGCCACCCCACUUUCAGUGUACCUACUGAUAGCGGUUUCUUCAAGCUUUCCGCUGGUAGCCUAAUCGUGGCCGUUUGGGUUUGGCCAUUCGCCUUCCGCAGUCGCCUUCUCGUGUUAGGUAGGCGCGUCACAGGUGCGCCUAUCCAGGGGAUACCAUGCCACUACCGGAGGUCACGAGUUGCUUUAAUUUCCCAGGGACGGAAUCGAUGUGGCCAUUGCCAGGUUAAUGGCAUUCAGAAUAUUUUCGACUACUACAGGCACCGACCAAUCACAUCCCCGUGUCAUUUCAGUCGCCUCAUGCGACAAGCAAGGACUAGCUGUGGUGGUAUUCUAUAGGCUGCCGUGUGGAAACGGCGUGUGUGUCUUCUUUGUAAUCACUUUAUUAAGCAUAUAUGAACGCUGUAAAGUGUAUAAGCAUAUUUAAGCAAUCUCAUGUGUUUGUUUGACAGUGUACUUUGUAUAUAAA